UGCAUGACUAAUUGUUGACAUUCUUAAGAUGAACUGGAUGCUGCAACAGCUGCCCUCUUGGGUUUAGGUGUUGUUCCUUCAUGGAAUCCAUGCCUGAAUCUGCGUUAUACAAUUUUUAGGUGCCUCAUUCGACCAGUUCUGGUGGUUUUUCGUCUUUUAGCCUUGGCACUCCAGUUAUACUUUCUCUUGCGCUUGGCAGAGUAGCCACAUUUGCCACAGGUCGACUUCUGAAGGUGGUAGGCCUCAGAGCCACAGCGGCGGCACAACGUG
rnacentral:lncRNA from 1 species